rnacentral:rRNA from 1 species
UACGAAGGGGGCUAGCGUUGCUCGGAAUCACUGGGCGUAAAGCGCACGUAGGCGGCUUUUUAAGUCAGGGGUGAAAUCCUGGAGCUCAACUCCAGAACUGCCUUUGAUACUGGGAAGCUCGAGUCCGGGAGAGGUGAGUGGAACUCCGAGUGUAGAGGUGAAAUUCGCAGAUAUCAGGAGGAACACCGGUGGCGAAGGCGGGUCUCUGGGCCGAUAUUGACGCUGAGGAGCGAAAGCGUGGGGAGCAAACAGG